rnacentral:rRNA from 1 species
UACGAAGGGUGCAAACGUUGCUCGGAAUUAUUGGGCGUAAAGCGCACGUAGGCGGCUCAGCAAGUCGGGUGUGAAAGCCCUCGGCUCAACCGAGGAAGUGCAUUCGAAACUACUGAGCUUGAAUACUGGAGAGGAUCGCGGAAUUCCCGGUGUAGAGGUGAAAUGCGUAGAUAUCUGGAGGAACACCGGUGGCGAAGGCGGCAUCCUGGACCGGCAUUGACGCUGAGGCGCGAAAGCCAGGGGAGCAAACGGG